rnacentral:lncRNA from 1 species
CAUAAAUAUUUAAAGAAUUAUGAUUGUUAUCACUAGAACAAAAACGGUCUAUAGCGACACUUUUAAAUGUCGGUAUAAGUCAAAAAAAAUACUGCUGGCUAAAUUACCGACACUUUUAAAAAAUAUUGCUAUAUGUGAGAUCGUUAGAUAUAUAGUAACAGAUAAAGAGUGCCGCUAUAAUAUAAAAAAGUAUUGCUAAUUUAUCAAUAUUUAUUUAAGCAUCUAGCAACCGCCGGAACUCUAUCUCGUUGGUUGCGGUGGCAGAGGAGGACGAGAGGAAGGGAUCUUCGUCUAGAAUUUCAAUCGAUUGAGUGAGGGGAGCAGGGGAAAUGAUAAUCGAUUUUUCUUUUCUUUUUCUUUUUUGUUUAUAAUCGGACCGAAUGGGCUGGGUAGGGUGGAUUGAGUAGAAUACCCUUUUAUUUUUGGUUGGAUUGUACUUUAUAUUUAGGCAUUAGUACAUUUUUUCUUAAGUUUUAACAUAAAUAUGACACUUACACAAAAAUAUGAUAAACAUGUGUCUCUAUAACCUAAUUCUGUUGUAGUGGUUUCAGCAUCUUGAGUCUAUAAAAAAAAUAUCAAAUUUAUGAGGUUUUCAAGUUAAACUUUUAGCGAAUAAUAAUUAUUUUAUAUUAUU